AUACGAUAAGUAAUGUGAAUUGCAGAAUCUCGUGAAUCAUCGAAUCUUUGAACGCACAUUGCGCCCUAUGGUAUUCCGUAAGGCAUGCCUGUCUGAGCGUCAGCUCCCCCACACUCAAGUCUCUUAAUUGAAGCUUGGAUCGCUUUAAAGAGGUGGAUGAAAUACAAUAGGCUACACUUUAGAAAUUCAUAGGCAGUAUGGUAUCUGAACCAGGCGUAAUAAGGAUAUAAAAGUGUCUCUCUUUAUAAAGAUUGUACUUGCCUUAACCCACCCAUUUUCUUCUGGGUAACCUCAGAUCAGGUAGGGAUACCCGCUGAACUUAA
rnacentral:rRNA from 1 species